GCGCGAUUGGAUGAGCCCAUGUCGGAUUAGCUAGUUGGCGGGGUAAAGGCCCACCAAGGCGACGAUCCGUAGCUGGUCUGAGAGGAUGAUCAGCCACACUGGAACUGAGACACGGUCCAG
rnacentral:rRNA from 1 species